ACCUACGGGAGGCAGCAGUGAGGAAUAUUGGUCAAUGGGCGCAGGCCUGAACCAGCCAAGUCGCGUGAGGGAAGACUGCCCUAUGGGUUGUAAACCUCUUUUAUAAGGGAAGAAUAAUGACUACGUGUAGUCAGAUGCCCGUACCUUAUGAAUAAGCAUCGGCUAACUCCGUGCCAGCAGCCGCGGUAAUACGGAGGAUGCGAGCGUUAUCCGGAUUUAUUGGGUUUAAAGGGUGCGUAGGCGGCGCUUCAGGUCAGCGGUGAAAUACCGGG
rnacentral:rRNA from 1 species